GCCCAAUUGGUGAAGUGGUAUCACGCAUCCAUGGUAAGGAUGAAUCGCAAGUCCGAUUCUUGCAUUGGGCACCA
rnacentral:tRNA from 3 species